rnacentral:rRNA from 1 species
UGGGAAGUCUUGCACAAUGGGCGAAAGCCUGAUGCAGCAACGCCGCGUGCGGGAAGACAGCCCUAGGGUUGUAAACCGCUUUCAGCAGGGAAGAAACUGACGGUACCUGCAGAAGAAGAUGCGGCCAACUACGUGCCAGCAGCCGCGGUGACACGUAGGCAUCAAGCGUUAUCCGGAUUUAUUGGGCGUAAAGAGCUCGUAGGCGGUUCGGUAAGUCGGGUGUGAAAACUCUGGGCUCAACCCAGAGAGGCCACUCGAUACUGCUGUGACUAGAGUGCGGUAGGGAGCGGGAAUUCCGUGUGUAGCGGUGAAUGCGCAGAUAUCAGGAGGAACACCAGUGGCGAAGGCGCCGCUCUGGGCCGUAACUGACGCUGAGGAGCG